UGUUCUGUGGCUUAGUUGGUUAAAGCGCCGGUCUAGCGAAUACGGAGUCGUGGGUUCGAAUCCCACCUGAACGC
rfam:Aedes albopictus isolate Foshan contig151694, whole genome shotgun sequence.